GUGGUUGUAGCUCAGUUGGUUAGAGCAUCGGUUUGUGGUACCGAGGGUCGUCGGUUCGAGACCGAUCUUCCACCCA
rnacentral:tRNA from 1 species